UCUUGUAUGGUACCUAAGUACCUUUCAGAAGGAUGGAAAACCUUAGUCGAUCUACGAGGUGGAAGAGGUUGUGUUGGGACUGGUUCUAAUUGAUUCGGUUCCUCAGGUUCUUGAGCUCGUUGCUCUUGGGAGACAUUCUCCUUGAGCUUAAUUAUUCUUCUGAUGCCACCAUCUUGAAUAAACUAUUUUUCAAGAAAAAUAGCAUUUCAACU
rnacentral:lncRNA from 1 species